rnacentral:rRNA from 1 species
UGAGGAAUAUUGGUCAAUGGACGCAAGUCUGAACCAGCCAAGUAGCGUGCAGGAUGACGGCCCUAUGGGUUGUAAACUGCUUUUAUAUGGGGAUAAAGUGGGGAACGUGUUCCCUUUUGCAGGUACCAUAUGAAUAAGGACCGGCUAAUUCCGUGCCAGCAGCCGCGGUAAUACGGAAGGUUCGGGCGUUAUCCGGGUGUAUUGGGUUUAAAGGGUGCGUAGGCCGUUUGGUAAGCGUGUUGUGAAAUGUAGGAGCUCAACUUCUAGAUUGCAGAGCGAAAUGUCAGACUUGAGUGCGCACAACGUAGGCGGAAUUCAUGGUGUAGCGGUGAAAUGCUUAGAUAUCAUGAAGAAAUCCGAUUGCGAAGGCAGAUUACGGGGGCGCAACUGACGCUGAAGCUCGAAGGUGCGGGUAUCGAACAGG